rnacentral:rRNA from 1 species
AGCGAACGCUGGCGGCGUGCCUAACACAUGCAAGUCGAACGUGAAAGGGAGCACUCCCCAGUAAAGUGGCGUACGGGUGAGUAACACGUAGGUAAUCUACCCCAGAAUCUGGAAUAACCGGCCGAAAGGCUGGCUAAUACUGGAUAGAGCGACGGAAUCCGUAAUUGGGUUUUUCGGGAAAGGGAGCCUGUAACACGGCCUUCGUUCUGGGAUGAGCCUGCGUCCCAUCAGCUAGUUGGUGAGGUAAAAGCUUACCAAGGCAAUGACGGGUAGCUGGUCUGAGAGGACGAUCAGCCACACUGGAACUGAAACACGGUCCAGACUCCUACGGGAGGCAGCAGUGGGGAAGCUUGCGCAAUGGACGAAAGUCUGACGCAGCAACGCCGCGUGAGUGAAGAAGGCCUUCGGGUUGUAAAGCUCGGUCGAGUGGGACGAAAAUGCUUGGAGUUCACAGCUCCAGGAACUGACGGUACCACUAAAGGAAGCACCGGCUAACUCCGUG